UACGUAGGGUGCAAGCGUUGUCCGGAAUUAUUGGGCGUAAAGAGCUCGUAGGCGGUUUGUCGCGUCUGCUGUGAAAAACUCGGGGCUUAACUCCGGGCCUGCAGUGGGUACGGGCAGACUAGAGUGCGGUAGGGGAGACUGGAAUUCCUGGUGUAGCGGUGAAAUGCGCAGAUAUCAGGAGGAACACCGGUGGCGAAGGCGGGUCUCUGGGCCGUAACUGACGCUGAGGAGCGAAAAGUGUGGGGAGCGAACAGG
rnacentral:rRNA from 1 species